GGGCUGGUAGCUCAGUCGGUAGAGCAGCGGACUUUUAAUCCGUUGGUCGCGAGUUCGAGUCUCGCCCAGCCCACCA
rnacentral:tRNA from 2 species